rnacentral:rRNA from 1 species
UACGUAGGGUGCAAGCGUUAAUCGGAAUUACUGGGCGUAAAGCGUGCGCAGGCGGUUAUGUAAGACAGUUGUGAAAUCCCCGGGCUCAACCUGGGACCUGCAUUUGUGACUGCAUAGCUGGAGUACGGUAGAGGGGGAUGGAAUUCCGCGUGUAGCAGUGAAAUGCGUAGAUAUGCGGAGGAACACCGAUGGCGAAGGCAAUCCCCUGGACCUGUACUGACGCUCAUGCACGAAAGCGUGGGGAGCAAACAGG